rnacentral:rRNA from 1 species
CGGGGUGAGUAAUGUCUGGGAAACUGCCUGAUGAGGGGGAUAACUGCUGGAAACGGUAGCUAAUACCGCAUAACGUCGCAAGACCAAAGAGGGGGACCUUCGGGCCUCCUUGCCAUCGGAUGUGCCCAGAUGGGAUUAGCUAGUAGGUGGGGUAACGGCUCACCUAGGCGACGAUCCCUAGCUGGUCUGAGAGGAUGACCAGCCACACUGGAACUGAGACACGGUCCAG